UUGCACGAUAAAAAAUAUUUACCAGAAUGAUAGUUUAUUCGCUAAACUAUUUGAGCAUAUUCAGACUGUAGCACAUUGUUGCCAUCUUCUCGAUUUUAUGCUGAUCGGACUUGGGACUUUAUCACGGGCUUUAUCGGACUUUAUUGAGGCUGUUGGUAUUGUUCGUGGAUUUUAUUUUAAGAAAUAAGUUUGGGAGAUUUCCAAAGGAAGAAAUCCAAGAUUUAUAAUUUGAAGAAUAAUUUUUAGGGAAAAUUGCUUAAACAAACUAAUAAACUUUUUCUGAAUGUAAGAAAGACAAAACUCGUUUGAACCAGUUAAAAACAGUUACCUUAAUCUCAAUAGAUUCUUUGGUAAGAUUUAUGCAAUUUAUUCUCAGUCUGCUAAAUUGCAGAGAGAACUAAAAAUUAUUGCUGCAGAACUGGAUAACCAACUGCGCAAAGUCGACAAAAUUUUGACAACUAGAUGGGUUGCAUCCUCGUCUCGUGCAGUGAAAUCUUUUGGAGAAAUUAUCCAGCUAUGUAGAAGCAUUUCUACACACUUUCACAGUCUAAAGACAAGCACAAAGCAACCUAUGCUGGAUUAGCAAAACGAAUGGAGACGAUAGAGUUUGUUGAAGACGUAGCCAUUAUGAAAGACAUUGGGCAGCUUUCAAUUUUGUCUGAAUUACUACAGAAGGACUGCACCAUUCUCAAAGAAACUGACUAUUUGCAAUUGUAACAUUGUUAGAAUUUCGGUAUUGAGAAAACUUUGGCGGGGUUUGUUUAGAAGGGACGAAUUAAAGGCGUAGAAAAUGCAAAGUGUGUUAAGAUUGUACUUUGCAUCGAGAACGACUUUGUAGACUUUAUAUCGUUUUUCUGGUUGAUUUAUUAGAGACGAUGGGUACGAUUGUUGUAUGGUCGUAAGUUUACUACGAUGGAAGAUAUUUUAACCCUUUGGGAUGGUAUAUUUGCUGAUGGUCUCUCUUUGGAUUUAGUCGACUACGUCUAUUUAUCGUUGGUAUGCAGCAAAAGAAGAAAAUUGUUAUCAUCGGAUCAUUUUGGAUGCAUUACUAUAUUGAUGAAAACACCAUAUUGUAGAAAAAAUGCUAAAUUAGUAGGGUUUUGAGAUAUUUAUUUGUUUAUUUGACAGCUUUUCAAUAAAAUCAACGUCUUUCGUGAGA